CUGGCAGGCAGUCUAAUCUCAGCUUGGCAUCACUUUCAAAGCUGCAUACCAACGUCAGCGCUCGAUAAAAUAAAUAGACAAAUAAAUUUUUCAUUUGGCCAAAGGCUGCGAUGCGAAGACUUCGGAGCAGGCGCCCAGAGACGGUGUCACGGUCAGAAAACGACAUGUACCCAAUACAGGAGAACUGUUUGUCCCCUUCAGGUCCAAAUCAGCUACCCGUGAGUGUUCCCGUGCUGCUGUGAGGCUGCAGCGCCAGCACAACUCCACGUUCCCUUCAGGUCAGGAGGUAAACAAAACUCAUCAAAGACAGCAUGGUCUCGCCUCUUAUCCAGCCAAUGUUUGACCAGCGAUGAUCGGUGGGAUUUUAAGUGGGGUUUCCUGGACCACAACCUGGAAAAUUCAUCGGACCCUCUCCUUCUCCAUCACCCAGUCUCCUCCGAGGAAACUCAGCCCGUCCUCCGGUCGUCCUCGAAGCUGGGGCCUCGGGUCGAGGAGCGACUGGAAGAAGGAGCAGGCCAGAGGUGUGAAACAUGCAAACUGG